CACCGCGACGGGCACCGGCGGUGCAAGCGCAUCCGGCGCGCCGUUUGAGGAUGAAUUCAGCGAAUCGCUGAUCAAUCUCCGCGGCGCGGUGUC
rnacentral:tRNA from 1 species